CAAAAUUUCAGAAGAAACGUGUUUGUAUAAAUGCACACAUAAAAGAAUGCAUGCAUUUUAAUUCUUUUAAAAAUGCCAUCACAUUGCACAUUUUAAUGAUAAAUGCUGAUGUGUUGUUUUUCUGAAGGCAUGCAGUGUUAUUUUAGAGGAAAUUAAAUCUCAGUAUGGCACGGGUUUGGUUAUGACAUUGCUAAAGUGACAUUGAUGUGAACAUGAGCUCUCAGCACUUUCCCAGAGUCACCCUCCACCUGCUCCUUUGAGCCCCUGAUGGAGGAUCAUUGAGCAUGUGGCGGCCCACAUCCCUCAUUGUCUGUCUGAGCUCUUCCAUUGGCUCCAAACUGUGAGAAACUUCAACAAGCUCAAGCCUCACACAUUCAUAUGGAGAUUUGGGAGGAGAGAUGUACAGCACAGAGAUCCAGACAUGACACCUACAAUCAUCUCAAAGGAGCUUCUCCCUCUCAACAACAAGCUGAGAAAGCCGAUGGUGGAGAAGAUGCGCAUGAGAUCGUAUCAACAGCAGCAUCGAGCAGCUCAAGUGUCUUCUGGCUCCAGAGUUCCUCAAGCAGCAGCCUGAUUCCAAGCUGGAGAAAGCAGAUAUCCUGGAGGUGAUACCCAGCAGAAGCAUCUACUUCAGCAGUUGCUGAAACAUCUGAUGGAGUUAAAGUGGCUGUUCCUCUAUCAGCUGCACUUCACAGUCACAGCAAAUGCAUUGAUUUUAUCCUGCAACGACACCUGAAGGAAAGCAAACAAGGAAAACAAGUCUAUAUUAGACACAGAGGAUGUGAACCACAUUUUAGUUCACAACAUUUCUUUCUGAUGUACAAAGACUGUUAAUCUGAGUCAGAUUUUAUAAUACACAUCUAUGUUAGGUGCAACUUAGUUUAAUUGGAUUUGAUUUUAUGAAUCCAGUUUUGUGUCCAAUCCUGGAUAUGUAUUGUGUAUUGUUGAAUACAUUUGCAUACACCUCAGUGAAGGACGGAAUUAACUAUUUUUAAUUUAAACUUAGUUUAAUUGGUAUUUGAUUUUAUGAAUCCAGUUUUGUGUCCAAUCCUGGAUAUGUAUUGUGUAUUGUUGAAUACAUUUGCAUACACCUUCAGUGAAGGCGAAUUACAUUUUUAUUACACAAUGGUAAAUAUCCCACAUUGGGAACUGGUUUUGAAUAUUUUGUCAAUAUGAUAAACACUCUGUUGUCCUCAUAGGACGUUUAAUCAUAUCAUAGAAUCACAUCUAAAUGUGGUUCGGUGUUUUUUUCUGCCAUGCAAUGCAAAUAACUCACUUCUGUUGAGUGUGACUGUGUGUCAACAUGUUGUCAUAUUUUCGUUUAAUGGAAUAUUUUAACUGUUGAUUACCUUGACAUUAAGCAUUAACUCUUUCUGUUGUGCUUUACUUUUACCCCUCAUGUGGAGGAAUGUUAAUAAUGAUUUGUGGUAAAUCAUUUGUCACAUGACUUUUGUAAAGUUUAAUAACAUUUAUUUGAUGUGAAUUUCAAUAUGUGUUUAAUGUUUUUUGGAGAUCUUUUAAUGCAGAUGUUGUGAUAUGUUAUCACCAAUUUAUUUGCUUUCAUGAUGAAAUCAUGUCAUCACAAAAGAGACAAAAUAAUAAAAACAAGGUCAAAUGUACUUUCUGCUGUUGCAUUCUGUUUUGUCAUAAAAUAUAAAAUUUUGUCAGUAUUUCUUAAUAAUUCUUACACAAACUAAAUUAAAACAUUUUGUCAAAAAACUUGAUUGACAAAAAAGUUCUUCAUGGAAUAAUUGUAUGUACAGCAAGAAUUAAAAAAGAAGAAAGAAAAUCUUGGACCUUUUGUUUUCAGUAACAUUUUUUGAUUAUACUCUCUUGCACAUAUUUUCUUUAUGUGGAAAUACUCAUAAAAAAAGAGUUUCUAAAAUGUAGAAGAGGUCAGAUACUGUAUUUAUUUGAUUUUUAAAUUAGAUCCCAC
rnacentral:lncRNA from 1 species